rnacentral:rRNA from 1 species
UACCAGCACCCCGAGUGGUCGGGACGAUUAUUGGGCCUAAAGCAUCCGUAGCCGGUUUUACAAGUCCUCCGUUAAAUCCAGCUGCUUAACAGAUGGGCUGCGGAGGAUACUAUAAGACUAGGAGGCAGGAGAGGCAAGCGGUACUCAGUGGGUAGGGGUAAAAUCCGUUGAUCCAUUGAAGACCACCAAUGGCGAAGGCGGCUUGCCAGAAUGCGCUCGACGGUGAGGGAUGAAAGCUGGGGGAGCAAACCGG